GAUAAACGCUGGCGGCGCACAUAAGACAUGCAAGUCGAACGAACUUAAUUGAGAGCUUGCUCUCAAAGCGGUUAGUGGCGGACUGGUGAGUAACACGUAAGCAACCUGCCUAUUAGAGGGGAAUAACAGCGAGAAAUCGUUGCUAAUACCGCAUAUGCUGUGAGUAUCGCAUGAUACAAGCAGGAAAGGAGCAAUCCGCUAAUAGAUGGGCUUGCGUCUGAUUAGUUAGUUGGUGGGGUAACGGCCUACCAAGACGAUGAUCAGUAGCCGGACUGAGAGGUUGAACGGCCACAUUGGGACUGAGAUACGGCCCAGACUCCUACGGGAGGCAGCAGUCGGGAAUAUUGCGCAAUGGAGGAAACUCUGACGCAGUGACGCCGCGUGCAGGAAGAAGGUUUUCGGAUUGUAAACUGCUUUUAACAGGAAAGAAAAAAAUGACGGUACCUGU
rnacentral:rRNA from 1 species